rnacentral:tRNA from 1 species
ACAUUGGUAGUUCAGUGGUAGAAUCUCACCUCCCAUGUGAGAGACCAAGGUUUAAUUCCUGACUAACGCA